rnacentral:rRNA from 1 species
AGAGUUUGAUCAUGGCUCAGAUUGAACGCUGGCGGCAGGCCUAACACAUGCAAGUCGAACGGUAACAGGGAGUGCUUGCACUUCGCUGACGAGUGGCGGACGGGUGAGUAAUGCUUAGGAAUUUGCCUUUGUGUGGGGGACAACAGUUGGAAACGACUGCUAAUACCGCAUAACACCUACGGGUCAAAGGGGGCUUCGGCUCUCGCGCAAAGAGAAGCCUAAGUGAGAUUAGCUAGUUGGUAGGGUAAUGGCUUACCAAGGCGACGAUCUCUAGCUGUUCUGAGAGGAAGAUCAGCCACACUGGGACUGAGACACGGCCCAGACUCCUACGGGAGGCAGCAGUGGGGAAUAUUGCACAAUGGGGGAAACCCUGAUGCAGCCAUGCCGCGUGUGUGAAGAAGGCCUUCGGGUUGUAAAGCACUUUCAGUUGUGAGGAAAGGUUGGUAGUUAAUACCUGCCAGCUGUGACGUUAACAACAGAAGAAGCACCGGCUAACUCCGUGCCAGCAGCCGCGGUAAUACGGAGGGUGCGAGCGU